GUGCUCACAAUGGCAGUGCAUGUACUAAAGUUGAAACAAUACAGAGAAGAUGAAAGUGGCCACUGCAUAAGAAUGACAUGAAGAUUCCUGAAACUUUCUAUAUUUUA